GGGGCAUUAGCUCAGUUGGGAGAGCGCUUGACUGGCAGUCAAGAGGUCAUCGGUUCAAGUCCGAUAUGCUCCACCA
rnacentral:tRNA from 1 species